GCGUACCUUUUGUAUAAUGGGUCAGCGACUUAUAUUCUGUAGCAAGGUUAACCGUAUAGGGGAGCCGAAGGGAAACCGAGUCUUAAUUGGGCGUUAAGUUGCAGGGUAUAGACCCGAAACCCGGUGAUCUAGCCAUGGGCAGGUUGAAGGUUGGGUAACACUAACUGGAGGACCGAACCGACUAAUGUUGAAAAAUUAGCGGAUGACCUGUGGCUGGGGGUGAAAGGCCAAUCAAACCGGGAGAUAGCUGGUUCUCCCCGAAAGCUAUUUAGGUAGCGCCUCGUGAAUUCAUCUCCGGGGGUAGAGCACUGUUUCGGCUAGGGGGCCAUCCCGGCUUACCAACCCGAUGCAAACUGCGAAUACCGGAGAAUGUUAUCACGGGAGACACACGGCGGGUGCUAACGUCCGUCGUGAAGAGGGAAACAACCCAGACCGCCAGCUAAGGUCCCAAAGUCAUGGUUAAGUGGGAAACGAUGUGGGAAGGCCCAGACAGCCAGGAUGUUGGCUUAGAAGCAGCCAUCAUUUAAAGAAAGCGUAAUAGCUCACUGGUCGAGUCGGCCUGCGCGGAAGAUGUAACGGGGCUAAACCAUGCACCGAAGCUGCGGCAGCGAACGUAUCACUUAAAGCGAUUCAGCGGGUUACGAUUGACGGAGCGAAGCGACGUCAAAGCGUAUACAAAGUCGAGUCGGUUUAAGGAUACGUUCGUUGGGUAGGGGAGCGUUCUGUAAGCCUGUGAAGGUGGCCUGUGAGGGUUGCUGGAGGUAUCAGAAGUGCGAAUGCUGACAUAAGUAACGAUAAAGCGGGUGAAAAGCCCGCUCGCCGGAAGACCAAGGGUUCCUGUCCAACGUUAAUCGGGGCAGGGUGAGUCGACCCCUAAGGCGAGGCCGAAAGGCGUAGUCGAUGGGAAACGGGUUAAUAUUCCCGUACUUGGUGUUACUGCGAAGGGGGGACGGAGAAGGCUAUGUUGGCCGGGCGACGGUUGUCCCGGUUUAAGCGUGUAGGUGUGUGUUCCAGGUAAAUCCGGUUCACUUUAACACUGAGGCGUGACGACGAGGCACUACGGUGCUGAAGCAACAAAUGCCCUGCUUCCAGGAAAAGCCUCUAAGCAUCAGGUAACACGAAAUCGUACCCCAAACCGACACAGGUGGUCAGGUAGAGAAUACCAAGGCGCUUGAGAGAACUCGGGUGAAGGAACUAGGCAAAAUGGUGCCGUAACUUCGGGAGAAGGCACGCUGACACGUAGGUGAAGUGAUUUACUCACGGAGCUGAAGUCAGUCGAAGAUACCAGCUGGCUGCAACUGUUUAUUAAAAACACAGCACUGUGCAAACACGAAAGUGGACGUAUACGGUGUGACGCCUGCCCGGUGCCGGAAGGUUAAUUGAUGGGGUCAGCGCAAGCGAAGCUCCUGAUCGAAGCCCCGGUAAACGGCGGCCGUAACUAUAACGGUCCUAAGGUAGCGAAAUUCCUUGUCGGGUAAGUUCCGACCUGCACGAAUGGCGUAAUGAUGGCCAGGCUGUCUCCACCCGAGACUCAGUGAAAUUGAACUCGCUGUGAAGAUGCAGUGUACCCGCGGCAAGACGGAAAGACCCCGUGAACCUUUACUAUAGCUUGACACUGAACAUUGAGCCUUGAUGUGUAGGAUAGGUGGGAGGCUUUGAAGUGUGGACGCCAGUCUGCAUGGAGCCGACCUUGAAAUACCACCCUUUAAUGUUUGAUGUUCUAACGUGGACCCGUAAUCCGGGUUGCGGACAGUGUCUGGUGGGUAGUUUGACUGGGGCGGUCUCCUCCUAAAGAGUAACGGAGGAGCACGAAGGUUGGCUAAUCCUGGUCGGACAUCAGGAGGUUAGUGCAAUGGCAUAAGCCAGCUUGACUGCGAGCGUGACGGCGCGAGCAGGUGCGAAAGCAGGUCAUAGUGAUCCGGUGGUUCUGAAUGGAAGGGCCAUCGCUCAACGGAUAAAAGGUACUCCGGGGAUAACAGGCUGAUACCGCCCAAGAGUUCAUAUCGACGGCGGUGUUUGGCACCUCGAUGUCGGCUCAUCACAUCCUGGGGCUGAAGUAGGUCCCAAGGGUAUGGCUGUUCGCCAUUUAAAGUGGUACGCGAGCUGGGUUUAGAACGUCGUGAGACAGUUCGGUCCCUAUCUGCCGUGGGCGCUGGAGAACUGAGGGGGGCUGCUCCUAGUACGAGAGGACCGGAGUGGACGCAUCACUGGUGUUCGGGUUGUCAUGCCAAUGGCACUGCCCGGUAGCUAAAUGCGGAAGAGAUAAGUGCUGAAAGCAUCUAAGCACGAAACUUGCCCCGA
rnacentral:rRNA from 1 species